rnacentral:lncRNA from 1 species
GGGAUUUUGAGCACUGCAAUCAAAACAAUAAUAAAAACAUGCACAUUUAUUUUUAAACCCUGACAUAAUAUAGUGCGGAAUUCAGUGGCCAGAAUUAAAACUAUUUUGUUAAGACACCCAACUAUGGGCUCCAUUCCUGUGAUUAAUGGAAUGUGCUAGUUUAUUUUUCCCUUGAGAAUCCAAAAGGCUUAAAAAAGGAUCAGAACUGAACAAAAGCAUAUCAAUAACAGGAAGCUGUUGGUGAGAAAUACCCCGAUCUUCCUGUAAAUUCACGUCACCACACUCCUCAGGGACAAAGGUGCAUGAACAGCAUGGUAAAUAAUUAUGAUUUAAUAUGGGCUUUGCAAUGUUGUUUACUGCACAACAACAAAAAAGAAUUGUUUCUCAGGGUGCAAAGAAAAGGCAAAUAAUAGAAACCCAUAUCAAUCUAAUCAGGAAACGGUGAUGUUAUGUCUGGGUCAGCUGCUGAAAACAGAUUGUAACCCAUCAGGGUAUCAACUAGAUAGCUAUACAUGGAUCCAAGUAAAAAUAUCAGUGGUAGAAAGUCUUAAUGUUAAAAGGGAAGUAAGUUGGUGGUCAGGGGGUGGGGUGGGGAGGUUGAGGGUCGACUUCCUUUUGAGUGCCGAGAUUGCACACAAGCACAAAUAGUACGGACAAGAUUGCAGCACUUCCACGAAAGGCAUUUACCAUAUAGGUUUGGCAUUUGGAGGACUAGUUUUUUAAUAACCAUCUUGAACUUUUGCCCAGUGCAGUGGAGGAAUGUUGUGGUUUGAUUGCUGGAGAAACGGUGGGAGGCAAAGAGUAAAUGGUUAUGCAGCUUCUGGGUCAAGGGGUCUGGACUGAGCAGGAGGUUCUGCAUAAAUGCAAAGCUUCGAGGAUACGUCUUCGCCACAGUUCCUUGUCAGUAUUCCUGUUCAGGGUUCCAGACAGCUCUUUUUACUCUCCUGACAUUUCUUUUUCAAUUGUCAAACUACGUUUUGUGGGCUACUGAACAUAUUUGGUCCUCACUGCAUUUUUUGGGGUGGGGUGGGGGGAGAAACCUUAUUGUUUUCAAGAGUGUUUUUGUACAAAGCCUCAGAGUUAACUGAGCAACAGACACCACCCUCUUCUUUCUGUGGCCCCAUUUGGCCACAGUCUUCUGCCAGAGUUUGCCACUGGAAGGAAGCAUGGUUUGAUUGGCAACUGGGAACACUGGACCUAGCCUCAAAUCCUUCCCCAAGGGAGAGAACCUAGCCUCAAAUCCUUCCCCAGGGGAUGAUUUUAGGGACAAACAAGAAGUGGCAGGUUUGUUGGCUUAAACCCAAAUCUUUCCCACAUGUCUACAGCUGUGGUGCAUGUGUGUCUAGUUUUUACAUUGAAAAGGGCAAAUGGGUGAGGAUGUUAAACUCUCCCCUUCCUGCAGCACACUAAAUAGGAUUGUGAGCAUAUUUUAGCUUGUUUUUGCUGUUUAAUUUACAGGGCAUGGAAAAACAAUAAAUGGAAAAACAGCACAGAACUGGAAAGGACUGGAGCAUUUCCACAUCACACGAUGGCUACUGAAUGUAUAGACAACUGCCUUAUCUGAAAAACUAACAAAAAAGAUGCUUGCCCUGAACAGUGCAAGUGAUGUGCAGGAUUUUGUUGAAAUAUGGUACCCUUUUGUAAGCUAUUCAAAUGAACAUUCCCACCAAACUCACAAACAAACUUAUGGCAAAAUCUGAUAAACCAAUCUUCUGUUCCUGGGUAGGUGGGGAAGUGUGGG